AUUGAACGCUGGCGGCAGGCUUAACACAUGCAAGUCGAACGUGUGGCGGACGGGUGAGUAAUGCUUGGGAAUCUAGCUUAUGGAGGGGGAUAACUACGGGAAACUGUAGCUAAUACCGCGUACCAUAGGAUGAGCCCAAGUGGGUUUAGGUAGUUGGUGAGGUGAAGGCUCACCAACCGACGAGCUCUAGCUGGUCUGAGAGGAUGACCAGUCACACGGGGACUGAGGCACGGCCCAGACUCCUACGGGUGGCAGCAGUGGGGAAUAUUGCGCAUAGGUCGCAACCCUGACGCAGGCAUGCCGCGUGAAUGAAGAAGGCCUUCGGGUUGUAAAGGUCUUUCGGUAGCGAGGCGUUAGCUGCAGAAGAAGCACCGGCUAACUCCGUGCCAGCAGCCGCGGUAAUAC
rnacentral:rRNA from 1 species